UGGGAUGGGAAGAAUGGCACG
rnacentral:miRNA from 1 species